UCGAACGAAUCCCAGCGGGCUUGCUCGCUGGGGGAAGUGGCGAAAGGGGCAGUAAUGCGUGGGUAACCUACCCCGGGGACCGGGAUAGCCUGCCUAACGGCCGGGUAAUACCGGGCGCUGUGAUCGAGGGGCAUCUCUUGGUCAUGGAAUGGUUUUCCGCCUCGGGAGGGGCUCACGUGGUAUUAGCUAGACGGCGGGGUAACGGCCCACCGUGGCAGAGAUGCCUAGCAGGUGUGAGAGCAUGACCUGCGCCACUGGCACUGAGACACUGGCCAGACUCCUACGGGAGGCUGCAGUCGAGGAUCUUCGGCAAUGGGCGCAAGCCUGACCGAGCGACGCCGCGUGCGCAAUGAAGGCCUUCGGGUUGUAAAGCGCUGUCGAGGGGGAGGAAAGCCCGCAAGGGUCUGACCUAUCCCUGGAGGAAGCACGGGCUAAGUUCGUGCCAGCAGCCGCGGUAAGACGAACCGUGCGAACGUUGUUCGGAUUCACUGGGCUUAAAGGGCGCGUAGGCGGCUGUCAUAGUCGGGAGUGAAAUCGUUCGGCCUAACCGGACAAGGGCUCCCGAUACUGGACAGCUCGAGGGGGGUAGGGGCAUGCGGAACUUCCGGUGGAGCGGUGAAAUGCGUAGAUAUCGGAAGGAACGCCGGUGGCGAAAGCGGCGUGCUGGACCUCACCUGACGCUGAGGCGCGAAAGCCAGGGGAGCAAACGGGAUUAGAUACCCCGGUAGUCCUGGCCCUAAACGAUGGGUACUAGGUAGUGGACUUGACAUGGGUUCACUGCCGAAGCAAAAGUGCUAAGUACCCCGCCUGGGGAGUAUGGUCGCA
rnacentral:rRNA from 1 species